CCCAGCAACAACAACAGGGGGCGCAACUUCCAAGGCUAUGAUGGCUACGAGGGUAAAUGUCAAAUUUGUAAGAAAACAAAUCAUAUAGCUAAAGACUGUAAUUGGCGUUAUGCCGAGGAUGGUGCCCAAAAGAGAAAAAUUGCAGCUGCAGCAAAUAUGUCAUAUGGUGUCGAUACCAACUGGUAUAUGGACACAGGUGCCACCAAUCACAUCACUGGCGAACUGGAGAAGCUGACGAUGCACGAACAAUAUCGUGGCCAAGAUCAAGUCUACACCGCCGCAAACGGUGCAGGUCACGAAGAGGGUUCUUCAUAG
rnacentral:rRNA from 1 species